UGCAGUUUCUCCUCUUUUUCAGUGAAGGAAUCCUUAGGGCAGGUAUAAUUUUAGGAAAAUUUGAUGUUUGUGCUCCAUGAUAGAGCAGUGUCUGUGGGUCAGUAGCAGAACACUUAUUUUGGUGUAAAAGGUACUGGCUCAGUCCCUAAUAUCUCCAAGUCAGAUUGGAAAAGUUUAAUUUGCAAUAUACUGGUGUAGGCUUUCAUGACUGGUGUUUGUUGGACAGUGUUGGACUUCAGGGUUGUGACAGUGGACAACAGAUUUCCUGAUGUUUCACCAGCAACUGUGGCUGGCAUCUUCAGAGGCAAGGUGGUCUGCUAUGCAGAGCUCAGACAACUGGACAGGGACUGACUGGAUUCCUGUCUUUACAGCCAGGUGUCCUGACUGCUGAUUGGUCUUUAGCUGAGCUAGUUUCUGAUUGAUGCAGAAUCUAUCCAGAUGAAUGUCAGCUUAUAUGGUUGCCAUGAUUUCUGCAGAACUAAGGAAAGGCCAUAAAAACAGCCUUCAAAUUCCCCCUUCUUUGCAGUGGAAAUACCCCAUGGCAUUUCAUAUAUGACUCACUGGCUGUUGUUUGGAAGAGAUUUCUCAGCCUUUGUGCACCCUGUAACUUAUAAUAUGCCCCAAAGCUAUCAGCCACAAUCAUCUUUGUUGCCCAUUAGCCAAAUUCUCCAGAAAGCACCUUUUGAUGCCCUCCAAUGCUUGCUCUCCAGAAUGGAUAGGAUGGUUCCCUCUUCCCAUAAAAUCUUUAAAACUUCAUUUUGCACUGAGAUUUAUGAACAACGUCACAAAAGCAAGUGGUCCUCAUAAAUUAAGUAAUACAAUUUCUUGAGUUUCACUUUGUAUUUAUAAGAUAGCUUGUCUCUCGUCAUGAAAAAGAUUUUUGGAUUUGA